ACUUGCAGUGCAAGAUUCUUGUUAUUCUUUGCCUUUAAAAUAUUUUCAGCAAAAUGUAGUAAGAAACCUUCUCCGUCUUUGAAACUUUUAUUAUUUUGUUUAAGUGUAGAAUUAUUUUAAUAAAUAAGGGUGAAAAAAAUAUUUCCCAGAGGUCUCACGGGUUUGGAACGACAUGAGGAUCCGAGCGAAGCACAGCAGGACGGCACUGCCGCAGUUUUCCGGGCAUCUCGCCCAAGACAUAAAUGAAGCGUCGGCCGAGCUCUGUCCACCUCUUGCAGGAUCCGGAGGUUCAUUCCUCGGAGGUUUGUGUGAAAUCUCUGGAUUCGCUGGAUUCAGCUCGUUGACUCCUGCAGUUUUCGCACUGUUAAUGGCGGGUGGUCUAACAAGACCACAGGGAAAGCGUGAGGUCAUAGUUCACUUGGUGUGCUUGACUGUGUGGAGCUGACCUGAGCAGCCAGAAACCUGCUCUAGUGGACCAUUACAACAGGACGAGCAUUUCACAGACCCCCUUCAUCGCCACUGUAUAGCCAGGACAUUCAUCUAAACAGCCUUAUUCAUGUAGAAAAUCAUACAAAUGUGUAAAAAACAUGAGGACAAAUGGACCCUCGCCUCACGAGUGGCUUUUAACACAGAUCAAUUCUUGCUUUCCACUUCCAUUAUUGUUGCGUUUUAAGCCUUGAGAGGAUGAAUCUGUGCCCAGAGAAAGAGACAGACGGCUGAGGACAUCUGCUCUGCAUGUCCCACAAUCAUACCUGCCAUUAGUCUCCAAAAACAGCCGCAUUUGCACAUUGAAGUACAUCCGAGAUGCUCACUAAUGUCCUUCACACAAAGUGUACAAGUGGUCUCACGCUGAUGAUGUAAUUGUCAUAAUAUCAUUACUGCAGGGGGCAGCAAGAAUGGCCUCUGGCUGAAUGGCAGCUGUCCCCACAUCCACUUAUACGCCAUAAUGAAGAGCUGUCAGGAGUUUUACAGUCGUUAAUUACUGCAACAUUCAAAGUUCUUGAGAGGUUUUUAGUGGGCCAAUAAAGUUAAUUUAUCAGCCUGUAUUU